UGGGGAAUUUUGGACAAUGGGCGAAAGCCUGAUCCAGCAAUGCCGCGUGCAGGAUGAAGGCCUUCGGGUUGUAAACUGCUUUUGUACGGAACGAAAAAGCUUCUCCUAAUACGAGAGGCCCAUGACGGUACCGUAAGAAUAAGCACCGGCUAACUACGUGCCAGCAGCCGCGGUAAUACGUAGGGUGCGAGCGUUAAUCGGAAUUACUGGGCGUAAAGCGUGCGCAGGCGGUUAUGUAAGACAGAUGUGAAAUCCCCGGGCUCAACCUGGGAACUGCAUUUGUGACUGCAUGGCUAGAGUACGGUAGAGGGGGGAUGGAAUUCCGCGUGUAGCAGUGAAAUGCGUAGAUAUGCGGAGGAACACCGAUGGCGAAGGCAAUCCCCUGGACCUGUACUGACGCUCAUGCACGAAAGCGUGGGGAGCAAACAGGAUUAGAUACCCUGGUAGUCCACGCCCUAAACGAUGUCAACUAGUUGUUGGGGGAUUCAUUUCCUUAGUAACGUAGCUAACGCGUGAAGUUGACCGCCUGGGGAGUACGGUCGCAAGAUUAAACUCAAGGAAUUGACGGGGUCAUAGCUGUUUCCU
rnacentral:rRNA from 1 species